rnacentral:rRNA from 1 species
UGCGUAACGCGUAUGCAACCUACCCUUUACUGGAGAAUAGCCCAUGGAAACGUGGAUUAAUGCUCCAUAGUUUGUAGACAUCUCCUGAUGAUUACAAUAAAGUUUCGACGGUAAAGGAUGGGCAUGCGUGACAUUAGCUAGAUGGUGAGGUAACGGCUCACCAUGGCGACGAUGUCUAGGGGUUCUGAGAGGAUUAUCCCCCACACUGGUACUGAGACACGGACCAGACUCC